rnacentral:lncRNA from 1 species
GGUUGUUCAAAGCACAAUCUAACAUCCUCUCAAUCGUACAGUCCAAACCCCCAGUAAGUUACAACAACAUCAACGGUGGCUUACGCGUGGGAACAACAGCAUACUUGUUAGUUUUCGUGGGUGGCCUUUUGAAUAGGGAAUGUGUUCUGUUGAGGGGUGUACGGCAGAUGUGCGACACACGGGCUGCAUCAUAGCUUUGUUGCUUGAAGACAUCUCAUUGGGGAGCCCUGUGAAUUCCCUUUGCUUCCUAUGCCUAUGGUUUAUGUUGCUAGCAUCCAUAUACUGCAUAUAUGCAAUUGCGUUUUGUAAGUAUCGACGAGGUGUCUCUCUUUG